rnacentral:rRNA from 1 species
UACGUAGGGGGCGAGCGUUGUCCGGAGUUACUGGGCGUAAAGGGCAUGCAGGCGGUCGGAGGCGUUUCGGGUGACAGCGGGUGGCUUAACUACCCGAGUGUUCGAAAGACGCUCCGACUUGAGGACGCGAGAGGGACACGGAAUUCCGGGUGGAGUGGUGAAAUGCGUAGAGAUCCGGAGGAACACCGAAGGCGAAGGCAGUGUCCUGGCGAGUGACUGACGCUGAGGUGCGAAAGCCAGGGGAGCGAACGG